GACGAACGCUGGCGGCGCGCCUAACACAUGCAAGUCGAACGGAGCUUGCUUGUCAGAUCCUUUCGGGGUGACGACUUGUAAGCUUAGUGGCGAACGGGUGAGUAACACGUGAGUAACCUGCCCCAGAGUGGGGGACAACAGUUGGAAACGACUGCUAAUACCGCAUAAGCCCACAGCACCGCAUGGUGCAGCGGGGAAAGGAGCAAUUCGCUUCAGGAUGGCCUCGCGUCCAAUUAGGUAGAUGGUGAGGUAACGGCCCACCAUGCCGACGAUUGGUAGCCGGACUGAGAGGUUGAACGGCCACAUUGGGACUGAGACACGGCCCUU
rnacentral:rRNA from 1 species